rnacentral:tRNA from 1 species
GGAUAGGUGGCCGAGUGGUUAAGGGAUGGACUGCUAAUCCAUUGUGCUCUGCAUGCAUGGGUUGAAUCCCAUCCUCAUCG